GCUCAACAGUCAUUUCGUGACCGGCGUGCUGACGAGACGUUCGCUACUAAAAAGGCGGUUUAGGUAUUGUUUUAUGACGUAAAAGCGUUGUUCUUGUAUGUCAGGAAAAAUAUUUUUUCCGCGGAUUUAUUGUUUUUACUCAUUUUUUAAUAUGUUUAUUAUUUCUGGGUGACAUAAGAUUUAAUAGAAAAUGCGGGUAAUAAAUAUUAUAAUAGUCACUUUUAUUCUAGCUAGUUUUUUACCUUUAUUAUUUAUUCAUGCACUAUGCUUACAAUCAACUCGAGAUAUUCAAGAUCAGACACGUGCUUCUGAAGUCGUGAUUAAAGCACUAGCAAUGAAUGUAUGGCUUGAACGUGAUGGUUUAUUCAGUGGUCAUUUUGCUAUUAUGACAGUCUACAAAGGCGCAAAAAUCAUCAAAGAUAUGUUGCAUAUUGCUGGGAGUGAUUUGUUCAACAUUAGCGACAAACGAAUAAACGUGACCGGAUUUCAAAAUAAUAAUUCGGGAAACGAAAAUUCAGCAUGUGGGAUUACUUUAACAGUGGGUACUUACUUUGUGCUGUUUGCGAACAAAAAAAAUGGCCGUAUAAUAACUAAAGAUGAGCAAGGAGGAUUAGUUGAAUGGUCAGAUGACAACGAAAGAUCUGUUUGGUUUGGACUAGGUUGGGGAGAUUGGAGUGAUUGGUCAGCAUGCAAUGUAUCUUGUGACACAGGUUUACAAUACAGACAUAGGAAAUGUAUAAAAUGUAGCCAGGGACAUAACAAAGAAAUGAGAAAAUGUAAUGAUUUUCCUUGUAAUGGUGUUAUGGAACUAGUGGCACCAAGUGAUAAUAUGCGGACAAUUGAAGGUAAACUUAAAAAUCUCCAAAAAGGGUUUACUUUACCCAAUCAUAAAAAGUUUCCAAACAAGUUUUCCAUACUUGUCAGUCUCAGAAUUUUACCAAAAGUAGAUUUUGGGACCGUGUUACAUUUAACUUCAACAUCAAAAUCGAUCAGAUCUAUUGUACUUGAAAUCAGUGGGCCAGAUCUAUUGCGUGUAUCAUUUAACACACCACAGUCAAAUAGGUCUGUUUUAAUUGCGUCUGUCUUAGCUGACGGUAUUACUCAUCAACUAGGUUUAGGGUUUCAAGGUGAUGAGGUUAUUGCUUAUUUGGAUUGCCGAUGGGUUACUACUGAAAUAUUAAUGCCAAAUUCAUUCGCACCUUCUGAAGAAUAUGACACUAAUAUUUUUGAAGAAUCACUGACGGUGGAUCUCAUACAACUACUUAUUGUACCAGACGAAACUGCUGUUUCAGAUCAAUGUACAAUUUUUCGGAUUGCAGAGCUAGACACAGAACUUAUCAAACCAAAAAUAAGAGACAAGUCUUACAAAAGUAAUAGCGGACUCAGCAAUGGAUUUUAACAGAAUAGAAGUAAUAAAACCCAGUUUUUCAUACAAAAAAUUUUGAUAGUUCGGUAUCAGCAUUAGGAUAAGUACUUAUUCAGUUAGAAGGAUUUUAAUAAAAUUAAUGGUAUUUAACACAGGCAGAGUUUACGCAUAUCAGUACGAACUGCACUUACCCGCGAACCAUACCCACUCUAUAAAUUAAAAGAAUACGUGUGAUCCGAAGUGAAAAAACCAACUGGAAAACAUUAACAAAACAGCGAUAUAUGUUACAGUAACAAUAAUUUGUAAAUAAAAAAAAACAUAAAUUUUAUAAUUGUUAAUAUUGUUAAUACUUAUUUCACUAUUGUUAUUUUAUCAGAAACAUUAAAUAAUUGUAUAGUUAAUGAUUAUGUAUAGAUGAAAUUUAUUAUAUACACUGUAAAAAUUCAUUGUUAAAUUUUUUUUAUCAAUAUUUGCCUAAUAAUAGUUUUUUUUUUGAUUCAACAAAAUAU